rnacentral:rRNA from 1 species
GUGGGGAAUAUUGGACAAUGGGCGAAAGCCUGAUCCAGCCAUGCCGCGUGUGUGAAGAAGGUCUUCGGAUUGUAAAGCACUUUAAGUUGGGAGGAAGGGCAGUAAGUUAAUACCUUGCUGUUUUGACGUUACCGACAGAAUAAGCACCGGCUAACUUCGUGCCAGCAGCCGCGGUAAUACGAAGGGUGCAAGCGUUAAUCGGAAUUACUGGGCGUAAAGCGCGCGUAGGUGGUUUUGUAAGUUGGAGGUGAAAUCCCCGGGCUCAACCUGGGAACUGCCUCCAAAACUACUGGGCUAGAGUACGGUAGAGGGUAGUGGAAUUUCCUGUGUAGCGGUGAAAUGCGUAGAUAUAGGAAGGAACACCAGUGGCGAAGGCGACUACCUGGACUGAUACUGACACUGAGGUGCGAAAGCGUGGGGAGCAAACAGGAUUAGAUACCCGAGUAGUCC